rnacentral:rRNA from 1 species
ACUCAAAUGAAUAGACGGGGGCUCACACAAGCGGUGGAGGAUGUGGUUUAAUUCGAAGCAACGCGAAGAACCUUACCAGGUCUUGACAUACCGGGAUUAUUUUGGUGAAAGCCGAUUGAUUGCCCGCAAGGGUGUAACCGGAACAGGUGCUGCAUGGCUGUCGUCAGCUCGUGCCGUGAGGUGUUAGGUUAAGUCCUUUAACGAGCGAAACCCCUACGAUUAGUUACCAGCGGGUCAUGCCGGGGACUCUAGUCGGACUGCCGCGCAAGCUGGAGGAAGGUGGGGACGACGUCAAGUCAUCAUGGCCUUUAUGACCUGGGCCACACACGUCCUACAAUGGGUUGUACAAAGCGUAGCCAGUCUGCAAAGACGCGCCAAUCGCCUAAAGCAAUCCUCAGUUCAGAUUGUGGGCUGCAAUUCGCCCACAUGAAGCUGGAAUCGCUAGUAAUCGCGGAUCAGCCACGCCGCGGUGAAUUUGUUCCUGAGCCUUGUACACACCGCCCGU